rnacentral:rRNA from 1 species
GGGGCAACCCCUGAAAGUGGCGCACGGGUGCGUAACACGUAGAUAACCUGCCCUUUGAAGGGGGAUAACGUUCCGAAAGGAGCGCUAAUACCGCAUAACGCCGGAGCUGGUUUGCCAGCAUCGGACAAAGGUAGGGAUCCAGCAAUGGACCUAUCGUCAGAGGAGGGGUCUGCGGCCCAUCAGCUAGUUGGUGAGGUAAUGGCUCACCAAGGCAAAGACGGGUAGCUGGUCUGAGAGGAUGAUCAGCCACACUGGUACUGGAACACGGACCAGACUCCUACGGGAGGCAGCAGUGGGGAAUCUUGGUCAAUGGGCGAAAGCCUGAACCAGCGAUGCCGCGUGAGUGAUGAAGGCCUUCGGGUUGUAAAGCUCUGUGGGGCGGGACGAAAGACUGAGGUCUAAUAGGCUUCAGGUUGACGGUACCGCCUUAGCAAGCACCGGCUAACUCUGUGCCAGCAGCCGCGGUAAGACAGAGGGUGCAAACGUUGCUCGGAAUCACUGGGCGUAAAGGGCGUGUAGGCGGGAAGGUAAGUCGGGCGUGAAAUCCCUGGGCUCAACCCAGGAACUGCACUCGAAACUACUUUUCUUGAGUGCCGGAGAGGAAAGCGGAAUUCCUGGUGUAGAGGUGAAAUUCGUAGAUAUCAGGAGGAACACCAGUGGCGAA